GACGAACCGUGCGAACGUUAUUCGGAUUCACUGGGCGUAAAGGGUGCGCAGGCGGCCGUGUGUGUGAGGCGUGAAAGCCCGGGGCUUAACCCCGGAAUUGCACCUCAAACUACACGGCUAGAGCAUUGGAGAGGGUAGCGGAAUUCACGGUGUAGCAGUGAAAUGCGUAGAUAUCGUGAGGAACACCAGAGGCGAAGGCGGCUACCUGGACAAUUGCUGACGCUCAGGCACGAAAGCGUGGGGAGCAAAAGGG
rnacentral:rRNA from 1 species